rnacentral:rRNA from 1 species
GAUGAACGCUGGCGGCGUGCCUAAUACAUGCAAGUCGAGCGAACAGACGAGGAGCUUGCUCCUCUGACGUUAGCGACGGACGGGUAAGUAACAAGUAGAUAGCCUACAUAUAAGACUUAGAUAACGUCGGGAAACCGGAGCUAAUGCCAGGUAAUAUAUUGAACCGCAUGGUGCAAGAGUGAAAGACGGUUUUGCUGUCACUUAUAGAUGGAUCCGCGCGGCAUUAGCUAGUUGGUACGGUAACGGCUUACCAAGGCGACGAUGCGUAGCCGACCUGAGAGGGUGAUCGGCCACACUGGAACGGAGACACGGUCCAGACUCCUAAGGGAGGCAGCAGUAGGGAAUCGUACGCAAUGGGCGAAAGCCUGACGGAGCAACGCCGCGUGAGUGAUGAAGGUCCUCGGAUCGUAAAACUCUGUUACUAGGGAAGAACAAAUGUGUAAGUAACUAUGCACGUCUUGACGGUACCUAAUCAGAAAGCCACGGCUAACUACGUG